rnacentral:rRNA from 1 species
UGGGGAAUUUUGGACAAUGGGCGCAAGCCUGAUCCAGCAAUGCCGCGUGCAGGAUGAAGGCCUUCGGGUUGUAAACUGCUUUUGUACGGAACGAAAAAGCUCUCUCUAAUACAGGGGGUGAAUGACGGUACCGUAAGAAUAAGCACCGGCUAACUACGUGCCAGCAGCCGCGGUAAUACGUAGGGUGCAAGCGUUAAUCGGAAUUACUGGGCGUAAAGCGUGCGCAGGCGGUUUUGUAAGACAGAGGUGAAAUCCCCGGGCUCAACCGGGGAACUUCCUUUUUGACUGCAAAGCUGGAGUGCGGCAGAGNGGGAGGGAAUUCCGCGUGUAGCAGGGAAAUGCGUAGAUAUGCGGAGGAACACCGAUGGCGAAGGCAAUCCCCUGGGCCUGCACUGACGCUCAUGCACGAAAGCGUGGGGAGCAAACA